rnacentral:tRNA from 1 species
GCCGACGUAGCUCAACGGGUAGAGCAACUGACUUGUAAUCAGUAGGUUAGCCGUUCAAGUCGGCUCGUCGGCU